rnacentral:rRNA from 1 species
GAUGAACGCUGGCGGCGUGCCUAAUACAUGCAAGUCGAGCGAACGGACGAGAAGCUUGCUUCUCUGAUGUUAGCGGCGGACGGGUGAGUAACACGUGGAUAACCUACCUAUAAGACUGGGAUAACUUCGGGAAACCGGAGCUAAUACCGGAUGAUAUUUUGAACCGCAUGGUUCAAAAGUGAAAGACGGUCUUGCUGUCACUUAUAGAUGGAUCCGCGCUGCAUUAGCUAGUUGGUAAGGUAACGGCUUACCAAGGCAACGAUGCAUAGCCGACCUGAGAGGGUGAUCGGCCACACUGGAACUGAGACACGGUCCAGACUCCUACGGGAGGCAGCAGUAGGGAAUCUUCCGCAAUGGGCGAAAGCCUGACGGAGCAGCGCCGCGUGAGUGAUGAAGGUCUUCGGAUCGUAAAACUCUGUUAUUAGGGAAGAACAUAUGUGUAAGUAACUGUGCACAUCGUGACGGUACCUAAUCAGAAAGCCACGGCUAACUACGUG